AGAGUUUGAUCCUGGCUCAGAACGAACGCUGGCGGCAUGCCUAACACAUGCAAGUCGAACGAGACCUUCGGGUCUAGUGGCGCACGGGUGCGUAACGCGUGGGAACCUGCCUUUAGGUUCGGGAUAACUCCUCGAAAGGGGUGCUAAUACCGGAUGAUGUCUUCGGACCAAAGAUUUAUCGCCUUUAGAUGGGCCCGCGUUGGAUUAGCUAGUUGGUGAGGUAAAGGCUCACCAAGGCGACGAUCCAUAGCUGGUCUUAGAGGAUGAUCAGCCACACUGGGACUGAGACACGGCCCAGACUCCUACGGGAGGCAGCAGUGGGGAAUAUUGGACAAUGGGCGAAAGCCUGAUCCAGCAAUGCCGCGUGAGUGAUGAAGGCCUUAGGGUUGUAAAGCUCUUUUACCCGGGAUGAUAAUGACAGUACCGGGAGAAUAAGCCCCGGCUAACUCCGUGCCAGCAGCCGCGGUAAUACGGAGGGGGCUAGCGUUGUUCGGAAAUACUGGGCGUAAAGCGAACGUAGGCGGCUUGGCAAGUCAGGGGUGAAAUCCCAGUGCUCAACACUGGAACUGCCUUUGAAACUGCCAGGCUUGAAUCCUGGAGAGGCGAGUGGAAUUCCGAGUGUAGAGGUGAAAUUCGUAGAUAUUCGGAAGAACACCAGUGGCGAAGGCGACUCGCUGGACAGGUAUUGACGCUGAGGUUCGAAAGCGUGGGGAGCAAACAGGAUUAGAUACCCUCGUAGUCC
rnacentral:rRNA from 1 species